rnacentral:ribozyme from 13 species
UUGCUUUUUCUUUUUCUUUUUUUUUUUCCUUUUUUUUUUAUUUUAAAAGGGAACACUUUUGGAAUAUGCAGCUACGUUUGGCGAGGUUGACUUUCAAAAGAAAGAAGAAAGAGAUACUCCAUCAACCUCCAUUGUGAAGAAAGCUAUUCAAAAUCUUAAAGAUUAUUUUCGAAUUGGAAUUACUGAAGAAAUGGACAGGUGUUGUGUCCGUGUAUAUCU